ACAGUGGUUUCUUUGGAAACCACUAUGAGUUAGCUAUGAAUGUAAU
rfam:Sarcophilus harrisii ctg7180002479833, whole genome shotgun sequence.